rnacentral:lncRNA from 1 species
UGGGGUAACCAACAUUCAACCAAAAUGCCCAUAUGAUUUCUCAAAAUGUGUCACAAUGGCUUGAUGAGUAUUAAAAAUGAUUGACAAAUCAAAUAGUUUUGUUUUUGCAGAAUAUGAGACAACAAAAUUACAAAUGGAAGAAGAAGAAUGAUACAUGUUUUGGUUUAGCAUUACAUGUGAACAAUCUUCGCAAAUCCAUUUAUAUAUUAAUGCACCAUCCAAAUCUCUUAAUAUAGAAUCGGGAAGGAUGUCUGAGUAAUUCUUUCCUCCCGCAUUAAACAAAAAUCAACUCAUCCUCAACUCCAAUAUCACCACAAUUCCAAUAUAGCACUUCGUCUUUGAAAAUAUGGACACCAUCUUCGGAUUGAUUAAUAGAAUAACAGUUGCCAUUGAAAGUUGAAACUCAGAAAAGAUGAUUCGCUGAAGCCGUUUGAAAUAUAUGUCUUCUUAAUGGAGGUACUACAACACAAAUCGAUCAUUGGUGGUGUGCCGUAACUUCGGAGCCGUUUUCACAUGUGCCACCAUUGUUUGUUGUAGUCUUGAAUGUGUUCAAUAUGGAAUUGUCCCUGUGACGUCGGAAUCUCAUUUAAACAGGUUCACAUAAAAAAAUGAGAAGAUAAAAUAACAGUAAAGAAGAGCUCAUCGAUAUUUCAGAAAUAAAGUAAAUUGAUGGAAGCUAAGCUAAAUAUAUUAAAGCCUGAAAAUGUUGAAAUACAUUCCUUUGGCAUUGAAUAAAUGAUUGUGUGUGGUUAUACUUUCCUACUUGUCAGUUAAGUAGCAAUUGCAGUGACCAAAUUUUGAUUGCAAAACUUGAGAUAGUGAAGACCAAUAAAUUAGUCAAACAAAGGAAGGGUUCAAUGAUCAAGCCAAUAACAAUAUUUGCGAAAUCAAAAGGUCAAUUGAACAAAAAUUACAAAGCCUUAAUUCCCACUACUUUCAACUAAGAACCAACACCACAACACAUUAAAAGAGACAAAAAAUAAGGGAAAAAAAAAAAAAGAAUAAUCAACUACGGCUUUAAACAAUUAAAAGAAGUCAGACGUUUUCCUAUAAGCUCAUAUUACCUCAGUUUCUAAAUCACAUUAUGAAUUCCACGACUACAAACAAUUAAAAGGAGUCUAUAGUUUCUUAUGAACCCUUAUUAGCUCAGUUUUUGCAUCAUACUAUAAACGCCGACAUUUUUUUCCUUAAAUGCAGUAACAUUAACAUCCAAGUUAGUGUACUUUGAGCAUGUUGUAAAAUAUAAACAACAAUUUUUUUGCCUUUUCAAGAAAUUCGGAUUUCUAGUCAAUAAACAUACCUUGAAUUUCCGCAAUACUCCGGCGGGGGUAGAAAAAAUCAAAACAAAGAAGAAACGAACUUCUAAAAGAAUUCAAUCUAUUCAAAUGGGUGGUGCAAGAAUCGUGAGAAAUAGAAAAAAAGAGGGGCAACUAUCGAAUUCAAACUAUUCAAGCUGAUAGUUCAAACUAAUUCCAUGUACAAUAUUUAUUUGGCUACACUCAUUUCAUUUCUCUUCUAGAAGUUGGUCAUUUUCAGACUUUUUCAUAAACAAAUAAUAACAUGGGCAAAAUAACUCUCACUGAUUCAAUGUGACAUUUAUAUCACUUAAAGAUUAUAAGAUGAAUUUUGUAAGUUUUAUUUGCUAAGUAUUAUUGUGUGCUCCUCUUCACAAUCAUUUACUGUUUGUUUAACCAUCAAGCAUGCAGGUUGUGACCACAAAACAUGAAAAUGCACAAUUCUAUUAUUCCACAAAAGAUAAGACAUCUAGGUUUAUUUACUUAUCAAUUUACCGAAUGAUGAUGAGAUACCACUUGAGCCUACUAAAGCAUUCGACAGAUAUAGAGCCCUCAACAAAGGAUAAGUUGAAAUUAAAAAAAAAACAUAUGAAUUUUAUUAUAGAGAGAACAUAAAGGUAAUCUAAAGAAGAACUUUUACCUUCGACCAAGAAACUAUCGGCGCCUGUGCAACCAACGAACACCGCUGCAAGUCAAUCAAAAACCAAAGGAGUACAAUAUUCGCCACUACAAAAUAAAAAAGAAAAUCACAAAUAUUCAACUAUAAAGAAUCCAAUUGACAAAGAGAGGGUUAUAAAUUAUGGUUGCGUGGAGCCUAAUAUUGUUAUGGUGUAAACAACAAUAGGAACAACUACUGUAUAACUGUUUACUCUGAAUUGAACUUCCAAUCCAUACAAAGAAUCAACAAAGAAGAAGAUUAGAAAUAUACCUCCGUCGAGAUUGUUCUUUGCAUAUGUAAUCCUUCAAGAUU